rnacentral:tRNA from 1 species
GUGUUCGUGGUGUAGUGGUCAGCAUGCUGGGUGCCUAUUCCAGAGGUCCGUGGUUCGAUUCCCGGCGAAGGCU